UACGGGGGGGGCAAGCGUUGUUCGGAAUUACUGGGCGUAAAGGGCGCGUAGGCGGCCUGCUAAGUCGGAUGUGAAAUCCCUCGGCUCAACCGAGGAACUGCAUCCGAUACUGGCGGGCUUGAAUCCGGGAGAGGGAUGUGGAAUUCCAGGUGUAGCGGUGAAAUGCGUAGAUAUCUGGAGGAACACCGGUGGCGAAGGCGGCAUCCUGGACCGGUAUUGACGCUGAGGCGCGACAGCGUGGGGAGCAAACAGG
rnacentral:rRNA from 1 species